rnacentral:rRNA from 1 species
UGAACGCUGGCGGUAGGCCUAACACAUGCAAGUCGAACGGCAGCACAGUAAGAGCUUGCUCUUACGGGUGGCGAGUGGCGGACGGGUGAGGAAUACAUCGGAAUCUACUUUUUCGUGGGGGAUAACGUAGGGAAACUUACGCUAAUACCGCAUACGACCUACGGGUGAGAGCAGGGGAUCUUCGGACCUUGCGCGAUUGAAUGAGCCGAUGUCGGAUUAGCUAGUUGGCGGGGUAAAGGCCCACCAAGGCGACGAUCCGUAGCUGGUCUGAGAGGAUGAUCAGCCACACUGGAACUGAGACACGGUCCAGACUCCUACGGGAGGCAGCAGUGGGGAAUAUUGGACAAUGGGCGCAAGCCUGAUCCAGCCAUACCGCGUGGGUGAAGAAGGCCUUCGGGUUGUAAAGCCCUUUUGUUGGGAAAGAAAAGCAGCAGGUUAAUACCCCGCUGUUCUGACGGUACCCAAAGAAUAAGCACCGGCUAACUUCGUG